GACGAACGCUGGCGGCGUGCUUAACACAUGCAAGUCGAGCGGAAAGGCCCGGCUUUUGCUGGUUGCUCGUGUGGCGAACGGGGGAGUAAAACGUGAGUAAAACGCCCUUGACAGUGUGAUAACACUAGGGAACUGCGGCGCAUACCGCGUAGGAGCUCCUGAUGCACGGGGGUGGAUGGAGAAAGUCGGCGGUUGGGGAUGGACUCGAGGCUUAUCAGCUUGUUGGGGGGGUAGUGGCUUACCAGGGCUUUGACGGGUAGCCGGCCUGAGAGGGUGACCGGCCACAUUGGGACUGAGAUACGGCCCAGACUCCUACGGGAGGCAGCAGUGGGGAAUAUUGCAAUAUGGGCGGAAGCCUGAUGCAGCAACGCCGCGUGCGGGAUGACGGCCUUCGGGUUGUAAACCGCUUUCGCCUGUGACGAAGCGUGAGUGACGGUAAUGGGUAAAGAAGCACCGGCUAACUACGUG
rnacentral:rRNA from 1 species